UACAGAGGUGGCAAGCGUUGUUCGGAAUUACUGGGCGUAAAGGGCGCGUAGGCGGUCUUGUAAGUCUUGUGUGAAAUCCCUCGGCUUAACUGAGGAACUGCACGAGAUACUGCGAGACUUGAGUUCGGGAGAGGAAAGCGGAAUUCCGGGUGUAGCGGUGAAAUGCGUAGAUAUCAGGAAGAACACCCGUGGCGAAGGCGGCUUUCUGGGACGGUACUGACGCUGAGACGCGAAAGCCAGGGGAGCGAACGGG
rnacentral:rRNA from 1 species